UUUCCUGUUGCAGGGAAGUAGGUGUAAAUUAUUGUUCCGUCAUCUACAAGCAGUUAGAGAAACUGGUGGCUGAUGACGUCACUAAAAAGGUACAAACCGAGGCUAAAAAGAUUAUUGGCUCUGGAGUUCAAGAAGGUGGUGACUGUUCACCGCCACAGAAGGCUCGGCAGGAGUAACCAGCGAGGACCUUAGUAUCGCCAUAUUUGAGCUGUACCUGGCGUUUCAGGAAUUCUUCAAUUUUCGAGAAAAGUUACC